GUGUCAGCCGCCGCGGUAAUACGUAGGGUGCAAGCGUUGUCCGGAAUUAUUGGGCGUAAAGAGCUCGUAGGCGGUUUGUUGCGUCGGCUGUGAAAACCUGAGGCUCAACCUCAGGCCUGCAGUCGAUACGAGCAGACUAGAGUGUUGCAGGGGAGACUGGAAUUCCUGGUGUAGCGGUGAAAUGCGCAGAUAUCAGGAGGAACACCGGUGGCGAAGGCGGGUCUCUGGGCAACAACUGACGCUGAGGAGCGAAAGCGUGGGGAGCGAACAGGAUUAGAUACCCGAGUAGUCC
rnacentral:rRNA from 1 species